AACGAACGCUGGCGGCGCGCCUAAUACAUGCAAGUCGAACGAGAAGCUGUAGCAAUACAGUUGUACAGUGGCGAACGGGUGAGGAAUACAUGGGUGACCUACCCUCGAGUGGGGAAGUAACCAGCCGAAAGGUUAGGCUAAUACCGCGUACGCUUCCCAGUCUACGGGUUGGGAAGGAAAGCGAUGCCGUGGGUAGUCGCGCUCAAGGUUGGGCUCAUGUCCUAUCAGCUUGNGG
rnacentral:rRNA from 1 species